rnacentral:rRNA from 1 species
CGGGGCUGCCCUUGAUACUGUCGCGCUGGAGUGCGGAUGCCGCCGGAGGAAUGAGUGGUGUAGCGGUGAAAUGCUUAGAUAUCACUCAGAACACCGAUUGCGAAGGCAUCUGGCGAAUCCGUAACUGACGCUGAGGCACGAAAGCGUGGGGAUAGAACAGGAUUAGAUACCCUGGUAGUCCACGCCGUAAACGAUGAUGGCUAACCGCCGGCGACACACUGUCGGUGGCCAAGCGAAAGCGAUAAGCCAUCCACCUGGGGAGUACGUCGGCAACGAUGAAACUCAAAGGAAUUGACGGGGGCCCGCACAAGCGGAGGAACAUGUGGUUUAAUUCGAUGAUACGCGAGGAACCUUACCCGGGCUCGAACGGCACCUGGAUCGCCCAGAGAUGGGCGGGUCUUCGGACAGGUGUCGAGGUGCUGCAUGGUUGUCGUCAGCUCGUGCCGUGAGGUGUCGGCUUAAGUGCCAUAACGAGCGCAACCCCCAUCCGCAGUUGCCAGCAGGUAAAGCUGGGGACUCUGCGGAGACUGCCGGCGCAAGCUGAGAGGAAGGCGGGGAUGACGUCAAAUCAGCACGGCCCUUACGUCCGGGGCGACACACGUGUUACAAUGGCGGCCACAGAGGGAAGCUACCCCGCGACGGGAUGCGGAUCUCGAAAAGCCGUCCCAGUUCGGACUGGAGUCUGCAACCCGACUCCACGAAGUUGGAUUCGCUAGUAAUCGCGCAUCAGCCAUGGCGCGGUGAAUACGUUCCCGGGCCUUGUACACACCGCCCGUCAAGCCAUGGAAGCCGCGGGCGCCUGAAGUCCGUGACCGGAAGGAGCGGCCUAGGGCGAAAGUGGUAACUGGGGCUAAGUCGUAACAAGGUAGCCGUACCGGAAGGUGUGGCUG